UACAGAGACUGCAAGCGUUAUUCGGAUUCACUGGGCGUAAAGGGUGCGCAGGCGGCCGGGUGUGUCAGAUGUGAAAUCCCGAGGCUUAACCUCGGAACUGCGUCUGAAACUACUCGGCUAGAGUAUUGGAGAGGGUAACGGAAUUCACGGUGUAGCAGUGAAAUGCGUAGAUAUCGUGAGGAACACCAGAGGCGAAGGCGGUUACCUGGACAAUUACUGACGCUCAGGCACGAAAGCAUGGGGAGCAAACAGG
rnacentral:rRNA from 1 species